GUUUACACAAACAAUGCAGAGAGGAUGACAUUGGCUACUGGAAGUCGGAAGAGGCCGACAAUGACAUGACAACUCUUAAUUGGGGAUUGGGGAGCAUCAAGGAAUAUCACAAUGGGGCUUGGAAACCUCCAGCCAGUCUUCUCAACAUGGUCUCCAGAUAAUUUUUUUU